CUUCAAGCCAUCGAGAACUGAACACAGCUUCUUGUGGAGCUUAGUCUAAUGAUGUAGCAUACUGUAAUCUGGAAACCUGAACACUGCUGGCACUUAGGUGGGGUCAAUACUUAAAAGAGUACAAGUCUGUUACCUGGAUGCGCUGCCCAGGAGAGCGAAUUUCAGAGCCACAAGUCCACUGAUGAGAAUGUCCAGCCAGCAGAUGUGGCAUGUGCAAGGAUAAGGUCUGAGAACAAGCUUUUUACAUUUGAUCUGCUGAGAUGGGGGCCAGAAUAAGAGGUGGCCUCUGACAAAAACCAGGUCCCAGAUGAUUUAAGAUGAAAUGAAAUUUUUUACCUGAAUCCUAAAGUAACCUUCAUGUUCCCUGAAGAUUCGAUAAGUGAAGAUGAGCUGUUCAAAGCUGUGAAGAGAUACCCUUUCAUAAACUGUUUUUUAAUCAACAUUCAAGGAACAACAAUGGCUAGACACCACUACAUCUAAACCUUUUGGUGGAAGUAUUUUUUUUUUAAAUGUAAACCAAGCUAAAACAAUAAAUGACUAAAACCC